rnacentral:lncRNA from 1 species
GCUUGGCAUUAUCCUUGUGGAUGGGCUGGAAAUGUCCAAAAAGGCUAUCAGAAUAAAAAUAUCUAUUAUGAUGAGAAAGUCUAUUUGACAUUAUUUAUUUUAAUUAUUAUUUAUAAAUAAAAAUUUAGUUGUAUUUUAAAGACUGACAUAAUUUGCAUAAAGAAAUUGUAUUUCGAUAAAAAGAUUAAGAUAUAAUUGGGAAGAUUAAUUCAAACUAAAUAUAUUGAUAUGAAAGGCAUUGAGGGAUC